UGGGGAAUAUUGCACAAUGGGCGCAAGCCUGAUGCAGCCAUGCCGCGUGUGUGAAGAAGGCCUUCGGGUUGUAAAGCACUUUCAGCGAGGAGGAAGGUGGUGAGCUUAAUACGCUCAUCAAUUGACGUUACUCGCAGAAGAAGCACCGGCUAACUCCGUGCCAGCAGCCGCGGUAAUACGGAGGGUGCAAGCGUUAAUCGGAAUUACUGGGCGUAAAGCGCACGCAGGCGGUUUGUUAAGUCAGAUGUGAAAUCCCCCGGGCUCAACCUGGGAACUGCAUUUGAAACUGGCAAGCUAGAGUCUCGUAGAGGGGGGUAGAAUUCCAGGUGUAGCGGUGAAAUGCGUAGAGAUCUGGAGGAAUACCGGUGGCGAAGGCGGCCCCCCUGGACGAAGACUGACGCUCAGGUGCGAAAGCGUGGGGCAGCAAACAGGAUUAGAUA
rnacentral:rRNA from 1 species